CACGCGCCGAGCCACAGGCGCCGCGCUCGUGAGCUACGUGCGGAUUCGGAGGAGCCUCGUUUAAAGGAGCAGCCCCGUUUAUUGUUGUGCUGCAGAACAUGCAGCUGUCAGCAGGCAGAACCGAGCAGAACCGGGCUCAGAGAUGACACCACACUCAGAAUAAGACCCAGAAAGAUGGAAACCCUCUGAAGACAAAUCAGCUUUUAAAAAUGACAGAAAUGGAUGAAGAACGACCUCAAAACUCAAACCAAAUAUACAAAGUUUAGUCGUUUUCCUUUAGAAAAUCGACUUUUCAAACCCCAAUAUUUAUGAGUCAAAUAAUAAAUGAUGCAAUUCCCCUUUUAGUAGGAUUUGAAAUGUGUAAUCACAAAAUACUUUACAAUAUAUUUGAGUUAUUUUUAAAUUAAAACUGAAUUGAUUAGUUUUUAUCUUCAUUUGUGACGGAUCCUCAAAAAGCUGUCGGUGUGAAAGCCACUCCAGCUGCGGUUCUGAUCCCAGGAUUCCAGGUCCAUGGAUCUUCCAGGUCCACUUCCACGUUCUAGAGCAAACCGAUGGAUGGAGGGGACAUCCAGCAACACUUCGUUGAAGACAGCAGAGUAAAUAAUAAAUCUGCUUUUCCACCUUUUCUGAGGCCCAAAGUUCUGUACAGUCCCAUCCGCCAGCGUUUAUACAGCCGCGGCGGCAGAGCUGGCGUCCAUGACGGCGCCAACCAGAGAACUCUGAGCCUCCAUGUCUCAAAAGUAUCUGAAUCUUUCCAAAUAAGCCCAAUUAUGUCUGUAUGUUUGACUCAUUUCCCACAAUGAGCCAUCAAGCAGAACUCUGGCAACUGUCUGUCUUUAAACGCAAUUCUCCAAUAUUAUAUCACCACAUAGGACUUACCAAUAUUCUUUGUAUGGUUUUCACGUUGAAAUAUUCCUUUAAGCUUCUCAACAAAUAAUUUUCCCAUCCAUUCCUGCAUCUCCCAAAUCAGAAAAUGGGGAUGCUGGAGCCUAUCCUAUCCGCUGCCAGGUGAAGGUUUAAUGUCUUUUACUACACAAAAGGCCAGACGUGUCACAAUAAAUGUACAUUUCUUCACUUUGACUCCCCUUAAACUGUUUUUAAUUUUAUUUUCUUUAGUUCUAAUUCUUCAAUAUUGUUUCAAAAAUAUUUUUUAAAAGAUCAAAGUCUUAAAGCAGCUCAAAUGUUCUCAACUUUUCACUUAAAAAAAGGUUUUCUAAAUGAGUCUCACUGGUCUUGGUGUCAUUUCAUCUUGUGCUUCCAAAAAGUCCAAACAGAAUUUUCUGAACACAAUUUAUAAAGAUUUAUUUUUACAGCAGAAUUUCUGCAUAAAGUAAUUACAAGUUCUUUAUUUAAAAAAUGUAAAUUAAAAAAAAA